CCUCUGGCGAUAAAAACGGUGAUUUCUCCCUGUGGCUUUGGUCGACGUCUCAAUGGGUGUCUCUGGUCGACGAUGGAAAACGGCGAGCUCUCAAUCGGUGGCUAUCCUCGGUGAAGGAAACGGUGAUUUCUCUCCCGUGGUGGCUAUCUCAGACGAGGGAGAGUCGGCGAUUGUUUCUCAAGGGAAUCGAAAGGUAAAGCGUGUCUUUGAUUCUCUCCUCUAUGCAUGCCUUUGAUUGAUUCAACUAUGCAUGUCUUUGAUUGAGCCGGUUCUUGUUCGUGAACUGUUAAAAAUUGAAAAACCAAAUUUUUUUUUGGUUUCUGUCUUUGUGUGAGCAUGAUUGUGGAUCGUAUCAAGGUACAACAAAGGCCUAUGACUGUUCAGACAGGUAAAACUUUUAUCUUUACUCUGAUCUUGUUGAUUAAAGCGUUGUCUGUAUUCGUUGGUUGUUUGCGGUUGAUUAUGUUGUUAUUGAUUCUUGUUUGUAUUCGUUGGUGGUAUUGAAUCGUCGGUAAUAUGGAUGGUGUAGUGUGAUGAUCGCGUUAUGUUAAGCUAAUACUUUGUCAACAAUGGUUUGAUAGAUAUGGAUUGUUUGAAUAAAACCUUUCUCUUUCCUAUGUUUGAAUAAAAACUCUGUUUGCGUUAGGUAAUGGUUGUGUUAAGAUAAUAAAUAGAAGUUAUGGUUUGAUAGAUAUGGAUGGUUUGAUGAUAAUAAAUUGUGUUAGGUUAUGGUUGUGUUUAAUGUUUUAGAUAUAUGUCCACUCAGAUAGAAAGCAAAUGUUGGUUUGUGAUCAAUGCAUUGCUACCUUCUUCGGUGUAUAAAAAAAAUGUUUCCUUCUCAUCUGUCCUCUAUCCGUGUUCUUCUCUUCUCACUUCUUCAUCAUUGUGCUUUUCUUUUCUCUCUUAUUUGAGCAUCCUGUCGAGAUGGAUUCUAAUCCAUUUAUGCAGAGUUCAAACUUUGUUGAGCUACUUAGCCAACAAAGUAUUUCAUUUGCUAACUAUGAAGAUAGUACACUAUCUUCAUCUCGAGUUCCUCCUCUACGCACCGAUGAUGUCGGGAACGAUGUUGGCGAACGUCGGGAACGAAGAAAAUGGACACCGACUGAUGAUGUUGUAUUGAUCAGCUCGUGGCUUAACACGAGUAAGGAUCCAGUGGUUGGUAACGAGCAAAAAUCAGGCGCCUUCUGGAAGAGAGUCGCAGCUUACUUUGAGGCAAGUCCGAAGCUUGCUGGCUGCGAGCAGAGAGAGCCCAGCCACUGUAAGCAAAGGUGGCACAAGAUUAACGACUUGGUGAGCAAGUUCUGUGGGUGUUAUGAAGCCGCAACGAGAGAGAAGGCUAGCGGAUGCAAUGAGAAUGAUGUCCUGAAGCGAGCCCAUGAAAUUUUCUACAAUAACCACAAGAAGAAAUUCACCCUUGAGCAUGCCUGGAAGGAGUUAAGGAACGAUCAGAAGUGGUGUGACCUUGCCACUGCCAAAACUGAUGGAAGCUCUAAGAAGAGGAAGUGUGAUGAUGGUGCAGAUUCAUCAAGCUCGCAAGCUACUGGAUCCAAGCGCCCAGCGGGUGUGAAGGCUGCAAAGGCCGGUGGUAAGAAGACUAUGGCAGAGGAGACUGUGCAUGCUGAGUUUCAGAGAAUGUGUGACAUUAAAUAGCAAGACUUGGUAGUGAAAGAGAAAGGCUUGGUAGUGAAAGAGAAGGUCUCGAAGAUGAGUCUACUUGACUCUCUUAUUGCCAAAAAAGAACCUCUAGGCGACUAUGAAGAAGCCCUCAAGAAGAAGCUCAUCAGUGACUUGAUAUAUAACUAGAAGUCUAGCAUUUUUACUCUGUUGCUUAAUGUGUUAGUCUAUGUUCUUGUCUUUGGUAACUCUCUGUUUCUUGUUUCUUGUCUCGGUUGGUCUUGUAACUCUAUGUCUUUAAACGCUUAAUGUUAGAGUUUGCUUUGUGUUUCCUGUCUUUGAAUAAUGUUCUCACGAUUUCUAUUUUACACUUACCUUUCAGGAACGAUCAGAAGGAGCAAACAGAGUUGUCGUCUUGUGUCACGGAGUGAAAGAGUUGUGGAGCAAACAUAGUUGUCGUCUUGUGUCACGGGGUCUCGUUCAUGCAUGAGUCUUGUUUAUUUUUUUCACGCUGCUUCUGUAAUCAUGUUGUAGUAUUGUUGUACAGCAGGUGUCACGGGAAGAAGUUUGUGUCACUGGAUUUUUUUUAAUGGUUUGACGUUUGUGUUUGUGUUUCUAUAUAAAGUCUCCUUCCGUGUUUGUGUUUCUAUAUAAAGUCUCCUUAUGUGUUU
rnacentral:lncRNA from 1 species